rnacentral:tRNA from 1 species
GGAGGUAUAGCUGAGUGGUAGAGCACAUGUCUAACAUGCACAAGAUCCUGAGUUCAAUCCCCAGUACCGCCA